CUGACUUGGUAAAGACAAUGAGCUGAAAUGGAACAAGUCAAGCUUGUGGUACUGCAUAUGCCUCCAGCAAUUAGACGAGUUCAGAUCUCAUGCUGAUUCUGAUCCACACUUUUGGCCGAAAGAAGGGGCCCAACUCAGCUCCCUCUGGAGCCAAGGGCACAUCGUUUGUGAUCAAUCAUGCUUGCUGGAUGAAUGGAAGAAUGAAUGAAGGCAAGGAAGUGCAAGAGAAAAGGCUGGAGUGUUCUACAGGGUCCAGAUCACAGGGACACUAUGAAGCAGUGCGACAGUAUAAAGGAGAACACUUUUAAUACUGUCAUCUCAGUUUGGUCUCCGAACAAGGGGAAGAACACAGAGAAGUGGAAAAUCCUUUCAAGGGUGCUGUGGCAGUUUUUCCCACGGUAUUGAGGAGGCCACAGAAGGACUCAGAAGCUCACUGUUCUGUAAGCACAUCAGCAUAUUUUGCAAAGUCAUGUUGAAGCAGAGAUUUAAUUUCCACCCUCACCAAAGCCUCCUGUACCUGCAACUCAG
rnacentral:lncRNA from 1 species